rnacentral:rRNA from 1 species
UACGGGGGGGAGCAAGCGUUGUUCGGAUUUACUGGGCGUAAAGGGCGCGUAGGCGGUCAGCACAAGUCAGUUGUGAAAUCUCCGGGCUUAACCCGGAAAGGUCAACUGAUACUGUGCGACUAGAGUGCGGAAGGGGCAACUGGAAUUCUCGGUGUAGCGGUGAAAUGCGUAGAUAUCAGGAGGAAUACCGAUGGCGAAGGCAAUCCCCUGGGCCUGCACUGACGCUCAUGCACGAAAGCGUGGGGAGCAAACAGG